GCGCUCACUUCGGUGGGAGCGGCGGACGGGUUAGUAACGCGUGGGAACGUACCCAGAUCUAAGGAAUAGCCACUGGAAACGGUGAGUAAUACCUUAUACGCCCUUCGGGGGAAAGAUUUAUCGGAUUUGGAUCGGCCCGCGUUAGAUUAGUUAGUUGGUGGGGUAAUGGCCUACCAAGACUACGAUCUAUAGCUGGUUUGAGAGGAUGAUCAGCAACACUGGGACUGAGACACGGCCCAGACUCCUACGGGAGGCAGCAGUGGGGAAUCUUAGACAAUGGGCGCAAGCCUGAUCUAGCCAUGCCGCGUGAGUGAUGAAGGCCUUAGGGUCGUAAAGCUCUUUCGCCUGUGAAGAUAAUGACGGUAGCAGGUAAAGAAACCCCGGCUAACUCCGUGCCAGCAGCCGCGGUAAUACGGAGGGGGUUAGCGUUGUUCGGAAUUACUGGGCGUAAAGCGCACGUAGGCGGAUUAGUCAGUCAGAGGUGAAAUCCCGGAGCUCAACUCCGGAACUGCCUUUGAUACUGCUAGUCUUGAGUUCGAGAGAGGUGAGUGGAAUUCCGAGUGUAGAGGUGAAAUUCGUAGAUAUUCGGAGGAACACCAGUGGCGA
rnacentral:rRNA from 1 species